rnacentral:rRNA from 1 species
AUGACACGAAAAGGAAAUCCAAUUUCGGUAAGACUUGAUCUGAAUCGUAGUUCAGAUCCAAGUCGGUUCAGUGAGGGCGACCGCGAAAGUCACCGAAUGGGUUCGGUCCGUCUUUUCCUGAUCUUUGUUUGUCCACCCAAAAAAGGUGUGAGAGGACGUUGCAGAUGUCCGGGAUGGACACGACUUCUUCUAACGCUAGAAGACCACAGGAAGAAACCCGGGACCAGAGCAUGUCGUGAAAGACGCACACGGGGCGGGCGUGCUUCGACCGUGUCUCCGGGGCACAGUUGA